AGAGUUUGAUCCUGGCUCAGGAUGAACGCUGGCGGCGUGCCUAAUACAUGCAAGUCGAGCGGUAAGGCUCCUUCGGGAAUACACGAGCGGCGGACGGCUGAGUAACGCGUAGGAACGUACCCCAAACUGAGGGAUAACCGCUCGAAAGAGCAGCUAAUACCGCAUGUGCUCUACGGAGUAAAGCUACGGCGGUUUGGGAACGGCCUGCGUACGAUUAGAUUGUUGGUGAGGUAAUGGCUCACCAAGUCGACGAUCGUUAGCUGGUCUGAGAGGAUGAUCAGCCAGACUGGGACUGAGAACGGCCCAGACUCCUACGGGAGGCAGCAGUAGGGAAUUUUCCACAAUGGACGAAAGUCUGAUGGAGCAACGUCGCGUGCAGGAUGAAUGCCUUCGGGUUGUAAACUGCUUUUAUCUGUGACGAAUAUGACGGUAGCAGAUGAAUAAGGAUCGGCUAACUCCGUGCCAGCAGCCGCGGUCAUACGGAGGAUCCAAGCGUUAUCCGGAAUUACUGGGCGUAAAGAGUUGCGUAGGUGGCAGAGUAUGUCUGUAGUGAAAGCGUGUGGCUCAACCAUAUACACAUUACAGAAACUGCUCAGCUAGAGGGCGAGAGAGGUUACUAGAAUUCCUAGUGUAGGAGUGAAAUCCGUAGAUAUUAGGAGGAAUACCGAUGGCGUANGCAGGUAACUGGCUCGUCCCUGACACUAAGGCACGAAAGCGUGGGUAGCAAACGGGAUUAGAUACCCCGGUAGU
rnacentral:rRNA from 1 species